rnacentral:rRNA from 1 species
UACGUAGGGCGCAAGCGUUGUCCGGAAUUAUUGGGCGUAAAGAGCUCGUAGGCGGUUUGUCGCGUCUGCUGUGAAAACCUAAGGCUCAACCUUGGGCUUGCAGUGGGUACGGGCAGACUAGAGUGCGGUAGGGGGUGACUGGAAUUCCUGGUGUAGCGGUGGAAUGCGCAGAUAUCAGGAGGAACACCGAUGGCGAAGGCGGCAUCCUGGACCAAACACUGACCACUGAGGAGCCGAAAGCCAGGGGAGCAAACGGG